AGUGGAUGGGGAGCAACCUAGUUGUGCGUGUGUAAAGGUAGUGCCAAGAAAAGCGGUGAUCAUGAUGAAAAUCAAUUCCCGGUACCCGAAACCGACACAGGUGGGCAAGUAGAGAAUACUAAGGGGCGCGAGGUAACUCUCUCCAAGGAACUCGGCAAAAUGACCCCGUAACUUAGGGAGAAGGGGUGCCACCGAGAGGUGGUCGCAGUGAAGAGGCCCAGGCGACUGUUUAGCAAAAACAUAGGUCUCUGCAAACUCGAAAGAGGAGGUAUAGGGGCUGACGCCUGCCCAGUGCCGGAAGGUUAAAGAAGUUGGUCAGUCUUAGGAUGAAGCUAGCGACUGAAGCCCCAGUGAACGGCGGCCGUAACUAUAACGGUCCUAAGGUAGCGAAAUUCCUUGUCGGGUAAGUUCCGACCCGCACGAUAGGCGUAACGAUCUGGGCGCUGUCUCGGAGAGAGGCUCGGCGAAAUAGGAUUGUCUGUGAAGAUACGGACUACCUGCAUUUGGACAGAAAGACCCUAUGAAGCUUUACUAUAGCUUGGAAUUGUGUUCGGGCUUCCUGUGCGCAGGAUAGGUGGGAGGCGUAGAAGGUAUUCUUGUGGGGAUACUGGAGCCAACGGUGAGAUACCACUCUCAGGAGGCUAGAAUUCUAACUUAAUUAAGGACAGUUUCAGGUGGGUAGUUUGACUGGGCGGUCGCCUCCAAAAAGGUAACGGAGGCGUACAAAGGUUCCCUCAGACUGGUUGGAAAUCAGUCGAAGAGUGCAAAGGCAGAAGGGAGCUUGACUGCGAGAAGUACAGUUCGAGCAGGGUGGAAACACGGUCUUAGUGAUCCGACGGUGCUGUGUGGAAGGGCCGUCGUUCAACGGAUAAAAGUUACUCUAAGGAUAACAGGCUGAUCUCCCCCAAGAGUUCACAUCGACGGGGAGGUUUGGCACCUCGAUGUCGGCUCAUCGCAACCUGGGGCGGAAGUACGUCCCAAGGGUUGGGCUGUUCGCCCAUUAAAGCGGUACGUGAGCUGGGUUCAGAACGUCGUGAGACAGUUCGGUCCAUAUCCGAUGUAGGCGUGAGAAUAUUGAGAGGAGCCUUCCUUAGUACGAGAGGACCGGGAAGGACGCACCGCUGGUGUACCUGUUAUGAUGCCAAUUGUAAACGCAGGGUAGCCAAGUGCGGAGAGGAUAACCGCUGAAAGCAUCUAAGUGGGAAGCCCACCUCAAGAUGAGUAUUCUGGUGUAAGGUCACGGUAAGACGACCCGUAAAUAGGCACGAGGUGGAAGUGCAGAGAUGUAUGAAGCCGAAGUGUACUAAUAGACCGUCGGCUUGAC
rnacentral:rRNA from 1 species